GACGAACGCUGGCGGCGUGCUUAACACAUGCAAGUCGAACGGAAAGGCCCUGCUUUUGUGGGGUGCUCGAGUGGCGAACGGGUGAGUAACACGUGAGUAACCUGCCCUUGACUUUGGGAUAACUUCAGGAAACUGGGGCUAAUACCGGAUAGGAGCUCCUGCUGCAUGGUGGGGGUUGGAAAGUUUCGGCGGUUGGGGAUGGACUCGCGGCUUAUCAGCUUGUUGGUGGGGUAGUGGCUUACCAAGGCUUUGACGGGUAGCCGGCCUGAGAGGGUGACCGGCCACAUUGGGCCUGAGAUACGGCCCAGUAUCCUACGGGAGGCAGCAGUGGGGAAUAUUGCACAAUGGGCGGAAGCCUGAUGCAGCAACGCCGCGUGCGGGAUGACGGCCUUCGGGUUGUAAACCGCUUUCGCCUGUGACGAAGCGUGAGUGACGGUAAUGGGUAAAGAAGCACCGGCUAACUACGUG
rnacentral:rRNA from 1 species